UGACUUUACUCCAUUGAGAUAAUUCUGACGAAAAAAAAGAAGAUUAAGGACAGUUAAUUUUCCAUUCCUUUCGCUGAAUCAGCGAGUAAUUAUGAAGGCAAAACUUUUGAUUCACUUGAUAGAAAACCAUAACAACUUUGGUUUAGUGACAUCAAGCUAAAUGAAAGAAGCGAUGUCCAUCAAAAUAAAAAUCAGCUGACAUUAACUUGAAAACAUAGAAUACGCGCUAAAAUUAUAGCGCCAAAUACGAGACGUAAAAAAUGCUAUCAAGUUUAAAUUUAACUUUUCUUGUGAAUUAAAGUUAGUUUUUCAAUUAUCAGUCAUGAAUAUUGAAUCAUUUAAAUUAAAAUAUAUUUUAGCUCUAAUGGCUAGCUCAAUAAAUCGAACAGAUUUGUAUUUUACCUCUAUCUAGCCGUUUGAUUUAGUAAAUCUGAAUUAAACCUUAAAAGCCUUAAAAACAUAAUCUGGUGCUUAUGCAGCAGAUAAAAGGGUUUGUCACAUGCUCUCAUUAGACAUGCAAUCAAAGUCUAGGAAUCACAAGUGAUACAACUUAUUAUAUGAAAUGUAUUAUUAAUGCCUACCAGGCAAUUAUUAUAUGGUCAACUAUGCUAUCGAAUUGUGAGGUUAUAUUGUGAUGAAAAUAUUUGAUUGUUAUAAUCAAUAAAUCUCAUUAGACGAGGACACAACCCUGCAUUGUACACAGCAGCAACUCACUGGCUUGGAGUCAGCUAUUUUCAUUUAUUUCUGUAUUAAUGGUCAUGUUAACAUUUCAUUGUUUAACAUUUAUCUUUUUUGUCUCUUGGUCAACUAUUCAGACAAUUGGUUGGACAUGGAAAGCCAAUAAGAACAGAAAUCACCUUUCUCCUGCAAAUCCGUCAUGCCUCCAUAAACCCACAUACAAUUGUCAUGGACAAUAGCUGAAUGUGAAUGUCUUGGUGAUGGUUGAUCUGAACAACGGAGUGAACAGCUUACAAGAUGCCAUUGCUCUAAACCUGUAAUAAAAUGGAAUCGAAAUUAGUCAAUUUAUUCAAUUUUCCAUCCACUCCAGAUCACAAAUUUUCACUCAAAAUGCUGCUGAUUGCUGUUGUGUUUAUAUUUUCUGCUGUUACCGUGAAAACUACUUAUACAUGUUCAUAAUGGAACCAGUAAUCAUCAUGAAAUUAAUUUAGCUGAUUGCAAAGUUCAAUUGGUACACCAACAGCAUUACAAAGUCAAAAUAACAUUCACAGGAACAAUGUCAACUCAAAGGAAAAAUUCAUUAUCAUAAUGUUUCCAUUUGGUUUAUUAAAGCACUGGAAAUUCAAUAUAUGAAGGUGGAAAAAAGUCAUCAGGAAAAACAUUUUACACACUUGGAUAAAGAGGAACAGAAAGAUUGUUAAAGAUGACGAUGAGCAGAGAUGAAGAUAAAUGAUGAAGCAAGCCAGUGAAAUAGGAAAAGGAAAGAGAUUCUCUGUAGAUACAAGAUGCUCUAACCUUGAUUCACUUGAAAAAUGGUAGAAGAAAAUUCAAUUUUAAUCUGAAUACCUUGAGAAUCAGUAAAUUAUUUUGUUUCCAUUUCAAUGUCUUUUUGGCUGGCAAUAAUAAAAGGACAAAAAAUGCGAACAAGAUCAUCAUGUUGAUUCUUUUUCCUGUUCACUUUCAUCUUCAUCUUCAUCACAUACUAUUCACUGAGCUAAAAAGAUUGUGUUCAUUCUCAGUUUUAUUCCUGCUGCAAACCCUGUAGUUUAAUCUUCAUCACUUCAUCAUCAUAACUCUCAAACAUGGGAUCACAUCUUUUUCACUUCUUCCUCCCUUCUCCUGCUUCUACUCUCACUUUUGCUUUAAAUCUUUCUAUCAUUCUUCAUCAUUCAUGAUCAUGAUGAUGACUGAACCAUCAUAUCAUUAUCAUCUUUAUCCCCAAUCAUCAAUAAGAAAAACCUUCUCUUUUGGUUCCUCCUUACCAUAUUUGACCAACAAAUGCAGCCAUCGCCAUUUUUGCUUUCAUCUUUUCUCUCUUUCACACUCAAGCCUCUUCUAUUAUCAUCAUUCUUUCAUUUUAUUCACCCAUCAUCAUGAUCGCAAUACGUUGCCAGCAUCUUAAUAUGAGCAAAUUGAUCCUUAAAAUGAGUUAUUUGAGAAACGCAAAAUAACCAUUUAAGCAUCAAGAACUCUGUUUUUUCAGCUUUUCUGCUUAUUAAAUCACUUUUUCUGAGCCUUUCUUGUAAUGAUCUACUCAUGAUGUGCCUCAUCAACUCACCAUUUAAUCAAUGCUCAAUUGUGCUCCUAAACAGACUUACAAUUAAUAAAAAUAAGGAUCACUUAGAGUCAACAAAAAA